UACGUAGGCAGCGAGCGUUGUUCGGAUUUACUGGGCGUAAAGGGCGCGUAGGCGGCAAAUUAAGUCAGCUGUGAAAUCUCCGAGCUUAACUCGGAACUGUCAGCUGAUACUGAUCUGCUAGAGUGCGGAAGGGGCAAUCGGAAUUCUUGGUGUAGCGGUGAAAUGCGUAGAUAUCAAGAGGAACACCUGAGGUGAAGACGGGUUGCUGGGCCGACACUGACGCUGAGUGCGCGAAAGCCAGGGGAGCAAACGGG
rnacentral:rRNA from 1 species